rnacentral:tRNA from 1 species
UGCGGAUAUGGUCAAAUGGUAAAAUUUCUCUU